ACUAACAGUUCAUCUUAAUUGGUUUCAUCAUUGACGAGAAAAAACUAUUUAAUAUUUUUUUAUUGUAUUUUAAACAGCUGAAACUUGGUGCCAUAUCUGCCUCGCACUUCUGAAAUGGAUCAAGUCGGACUAGCUUCCUAAAUUAUAUAAUGCCAGUGGAACACAAAACAGAAAAGAUACUUGUAUGCAAGACAUGGAGAAAAGAGCCGACUACAGCCUCUAUAUACCAUUCCUUGGCGCCUCCUUGAAUUGAUGUUUUUCAGAAAUGCAGGAUAACCAGGAAUAAAGGUUUACUCAGUAUAAAGUCUUGUUGUCAUGAACAUGAUAAUCAGAAGAAAGUGAAUAUAUUUCAUCAUCUUAAGCGACCUUCAAAAUACCAGAUUGGGAAAAGAAAGAAGAUUUGUAGCAUUGUAUUGAAGAUGCCUGAUUAAAAGUAUUAAUGGAUGAAUUGGUGUUUUUCUGUUUUCUUCAGAAAUUUGAAAUCAAAGGCAAUGCUCAGAAAUUGAGGGAUUUUGUUGAAAGAGCUGAUAGGUCCCUUUACCCUUUUGGAUAUUCAAAUUGAAAAGAAAGUGACCCCGGGGAUGAAGUCAACAUGCAAGCUUAGCUUUCUGCAGUGCUAAAAGGAAAAGUGCAAAAUUGAUGACCUUCUGGUGUACCUUUAGAGAAAUAAUUAUAAUUACAUGUAGUAUCAUUAAAUCUUCUGCUAUGAGGCAAUAACAUGUAUUUGUCUUGAAGAAUAACAAGGA